GGGCACUUCGCUUUGUGAACUACUUUUAUUAUUACGAAGUGCCUGUUCUACGGGAGAGAGAUGGUCUGACUCCCCGCCUUGGCUGACCUUCCUGCCCUCUCUCUACAAUAAUGCUCAGUGAGGUGUGUGGGUAUUGAGGAUGGGAGCAAGUUUUUUUUUUUCCCCAUUACCCUCAUUUCUGAACAAUGCAAAUGAAAUGCAGGGCUAAAUGCAGAUAUGUUUUACAAGGCAAAAGUACAGAAUUUGACUCACACAUGCUGAUAUACUAGAACAGAGCAGCUCUUAAAUCUCCUUCACUGUAGAAUUUAAAAAGUUAAAUGUGGGGAGAAAAUCCUAGAGAAGCUGUCUGUCUGGGCAAUGCAGAGCUAGCUGCAGCCUUGGUCUCUUUGUAGUGACAGGGAAGGUGGCAGCUGGAUCACAUCAUGCAUGAUGCACAGCAUGCACUGCACCCCGUGCUUCUCCCUGCACUUGUAGGUGGGCCUGAGCACUUGCAAAAGCAUCAGAAAGCCUGAGGGAACUGGAGGUUCUCAAGAAACUUGCAGAGCUGGGGAGCAGGAAGGAGUGGGUGAGUGAAGGUGCAACAGCAGCAACGGGUACAAGAGGAUGAAUGGAGAUAAAUCGGUGGUAGCUGAGCGAGCAGAGACACACACGUUAGUCAGGUGGAGCAGUACCAAUGGAAAAGGAGGGAUGGAGUUAGCAGACGUGCAGAACAGAACUGGAAAGCAUUUGUAAGCUUUCAGCAAUUCUUUCAACACUUCUCCACUCUCCUGCUAUUAAUUUCCGCUUGUCUCGGCUGGCUUGCGUGUUGUGAAUGUAAAUGAGGGCAGUGGGUUGCUGGGGUCUCUGUGAAAUGCAAAAAUUAACGUGUGGUUCACGAGAAAUGACUGCUCUGGUUUGCACCUGUGGAGCUGUCGCUGUUGUACACAGUCAGACAUGAGGAUCUUGAUCCUGCGAGCUCUUAUAACCAUUAACAUCUUAAUAAAUGCUACUAACUUCCUUUGAGCAUUUAUACAUGUGUGUUUGAGGUGUGAGAGCUUACACCUGGCUAUGAGUUCUACAAACAACAGCAAAAACAAACAAACAAAACCCACUGCAAGAUGGAAAAAAUAAGAACAGCGAACAUGAAUUUCUUAAGAAUACCCAAAUUAGAGCAGGAUUCUGUGACAAAGUGUCAUAGUGAGACCCUGAAGUUGUUACUUGCUUGUUCAAAAGUGUCAUCUGUUUAACAGGCAGCUUUUUGCUUGUUUUUCUGUUUCUAAUUUGGUUUAACCCACCAUUUGAGGACUGAAGUGCAGAAAGUCCCCACCCAGCAGAGAAAGUCUUACAAGACUGAAAAGAGGAAGACCUAUUUUGCAACCAGGGUGGUUUUCCCCCGGGACAUGCAUGAUGGUGAACAGGCAGAGUAGCAUUCUUAUUGUAGGUUAAAACUUAUGAAAACUUGGAUUUCCUUUCCAUGUUUGCAAUUUUGCAAGUGUUUACCAGGGAAGGAAGGAGGACAAGGUGAGUCCCAGAGCAUCCUGAGGUCUCAAAUUUAUUAUCUGGAUAUGAACAGGUGCCUUGCACCCUCCAGAACCACCGUCCAGUUUCCAAAAUUAAGAUGGGGCCAAUGGAAACUGGAGCUGCCCAGCACCCCUGAGGAUCAAGGUCUUGAAGUGUGAGGCAAACUACAGUGGACUGCAAAUCAAGGACACUGAUGAAUUAAUUAACAUCUUAAUUCAGAUGACUGCAUGUGGAAGACAAAAUAUUGUGUAAGAAGGGAAGGAAAAUGUGAUGAGCAGAGGCCACAGUUUCUCUCUUCAGUCACUUUGAACUGAACUCCUAAUUGCUUCCAUUAGUUAAAGCAUUUAUGUUACUAACCCAACAACAGGCUCCUGUUGCCAUCAGCAGAGCAUUUUUCUUUUGAAUAGGGAAUUUGUGGGACUGGGUGGAAGGACAGAUCAGGCCUCAUUCCGCUUUAUGAACUCCAGUACAGCAUGAGGACAGGCCCUUGAGAGCCAGCAGCGUGACAGCAAAAGAAGCUGUUUAUUGUGAGAGCUACCCCUGCCACCGCCCCCAGGACAGAAAAUCCCCAAACACACGGAAGGAGGAAAUUUUCAGCAAGGGGGCCGGCCUAUAGCAGUGAUCUAUUUCCAAGCAGUGUCAUCGGGCCACAAAACAGGACUGUCCUGUAGGCUCACCUGUAGCCUGCUGCCCCGGCCUUCUCCUGAGGGUGAAUGAAGAGCACUGCAUGUUGUGCAUUGGAGGCAGUAGUGUUGUAACCAUGAUCAUCUAGGAGUGGCACGUCUCAAGUGGCUCACAGAAAUACCACCUAUGUGGGGAACGUCUAUAGACCAGGCAAGCAUUUGGAAGGAGGGCUUUACUCCAUUAGGAAAAAGACAGCAGCGUUGAGAACAAUACCACUGACAUUCAUCCAUGCUUUGCUGAAGAGUAGGGAGGACUUGAUCUAGUUUCUUUCUUAUGUUUGUGUUUCAGUGCUAUCUGUAGUGCUAUCUGUUUCACUCACCUAUCCUAGAUUAAAAAAGCACCCUUCAUAUUUCAUAUUUCAGACCAUGAUUGAUAAUGCAUGUCUCAUAUUUCAGCAGUGUUUAAUAAAACAAACCUUUGAAAGAAACUGAGAAGUUCUUGCUUGCUCUUUUACAUGUUUUAGGAAGACAGUGGUUUAUUAAUAUGCACACGAUUCCUUUUUUCUGAGUUUGAGGUGACCAGCAGUCCCUGGUGUAAAUGUGCAGCAGGUCAGGGAGUGUCAUUAGAACUGGCUGUGAAAGGAAAGAUCCCUGGAGUUGUAAGAACAAACAUGACAAUGUUUAGAAAAUGGUGAAGUAAAAUGCACCCCCUCCAAGAGUCUUCGAAUGGUAAAUAUGCUGUAUUAGACCCCUUCUUCCUUCUUCUGUAUCAAUUAGACCCCAAACUUCCAGUUUGCCUGCUUUCUGACAGUGUGAAAAUCUGAUCAUAUGUCCAUUGAAAUCAAAGCCA